rnacentral:rRNA from 1 species
AGUGAACGCUGGCGGCAGGCCUAACACAUGCAAGUCGAACGGCAGCACAGUAAUAGCUCGCUCUUACGGGUGGCGAGUGGCGGACGAGUCCUGGAUACAUCCGUAUCUACUUGUUCGAGCGGGAUAACGCAGGGGCACUUACGCCAAUCGUGCAUACGGCCAACGUGUGGAAUCAGCGGAUCUUACGCCAUUGCGCGAGCCAAGGUCGGAUUAGCUAGUUGGUGGGGUAAAGGCCUACCAAGGCGACGAUCCGUAGCUGGUCUGAGAGGAUGAUCAGCCACACUGGAACUGAGACACGGUCCAGACUCCUACGGGAGGCAGCAGUGGGGAAUAUUGGACAAUGGGCGAAAGCCUGAUCCAGCCAUGCCGCGUGGGUGAAGAAGGUCUUCGGGUUGUAAAGCCCUUUUAUUGGGGAAGAAAAGCAGCAGGUUAAUACCUCGCUGUUUUGACGGUACCAAAAGAAUAAGCACCGGCUAACUUCGUG